GCCUGUUUGAACGGUCCCAGCCCACUCUAAUUAACGUCCUCCCCUUUUAUCAAAUGAUCGCGACAAAGCCUAAGUGAAAGCAACCGAGAUCGUUAUAUAUUUUUUGCGAUAACAACUAUUCUUGAACUAAUGUCUGCCAUGUCUACCUCAGCUAAUUUACCAGAACCCGAACAUUCCGGACUGUUCAAGUUUUUAUCUGCUGCGUUCUACGCUGUCAGUUCUUUUUUGAUCAUUGUUGUGAACAAAACGAUUCUCACAAACUACAGAUUUCCCUCCUACAUGUUUCUAGGAAUUGGCCAGAUGACUACUACAAUCCUCAUUCUCUAUUUUGCUAAAAUGAACCAAACAGUUCACUUCCAAGACUUUGACAGAAGCAUUCUCGUCAAAAUCUUCCCCCUACCUUUGCUGUAUGUUGGAAACCACAUAACAGGAUUGGCUAGUACAAAGAAGUUAAGCUUACCCAUGUUCACAGUGUUAAGGAAGUUCACCAUAUUGAUGACAAUGAUCAUGGAAGCAAGGCUAUUGAGAAAAACAUUCCCCAAUCAUCUUAUCUACAGUGUUCUGGCCAUCGUUUUUGGAGCCUUGGUGGCUGCCAGCUCUGACUUGGCCUUUGAUGCAGAGGGCUACACAUUCAUUCUGCUUAAUGAUGUCUUCACUGCUGCCAGUGGUGUGUACACCAAGAAGAAGCUGGGAACUGAGGGUCUUGGAAAAUAUGGGAUCUUAUUUUACAAUGCAUUCAUCAUCGUCAUCCCAGCUCUUCUGGCAAGUGCAUUCACUGGGGAUUUACACAAGGCCAUCACAUUUGAACACUGGUUGAAUGCCCCCUUUGUUUCCUGCUUCCUUAUUUCCUGCCUCAUGGGGUUUGUGCUGAUGUAUUCCAUAGUGCUGUGUAGCCACUACAACUCUGCACUGACCACCACGGUGGUGGGAGCAAUUAAGAACGUUGCUGUGGCCUACAUCGGCAUGUUUUUAGGUGGAGACUACCUGUUUUCAUGGACAAACUUCCUGGGGUUAAAUAUUUGUAUAUCAGGGGGACUUGUGUAUUCCUACCUGACGUUCCACAGCAGCAGCAAACCAUCCCAAAGCGAUGAAAGCGGAAUACAGGGAAACCAGGAUCAGCUGAUCAUUCCCGUGAUGGAAGAUUCCAUAGACAGACUCCCUGUGAAAUAAGUGAAUAAACCUGUGAUGAACCAGGCAAACUUCUAUCCCAAGCAUACUGCGUAGGGAGGCAGAAGGGGAUUGACUAGGGAAGGUUUCAGGACUCCCCACCCACUGGGAUGUGGGCGGGGAUUUAGGCAGACAGGUUAUUAGCCAGCUCAAUGAGCGCCAGGGCGCCAUGAAGACGCUCCCGUUGCUCUUGGAGACACCGUCUGGCAGCCCCGCCCCCGUUGCCCUUCUCUUCCUCCAUUGGAUCCUCCUCGUCUUCCUCGUCUGAUAGGAGAAACUCCCGGGGGUCCUGCUGCUCCUGGUCCUCCACACCACCCUUGCCCUGGGUUUUCCCCUUGGUGGGCGCAGGGGCACGCUGCUCACGGGUCUGCCAGUACCUGCCACAACACAGAGACAAGGGGGGAUAUGGGACUUCUCUCUGGGGAACACACGAUUGCAGAUGUUGCAGCGGAUGCGACUGGAGGAGCUCUCCCCCUCGUUGAUCAACUCACGGACAGUGUCAGCACGCGGGCGGCCACGCCGAAUACCGUCCUGGAAACAAAGAGGAAACAAAGUUAACUACAGUUUAAAUGAAUAAAUGCAUCUUUCUUUACUUUCUGAAUACUUAAUGUAGGCUUAGAACAUCAUACUUCCAGUUUGGAAUGCAGCAUUAUUCCAGUAACAAUGUUUGUUUUAAUAAAACAGUAACUAGUU